GACGAACGCUGGCGGCGUGCCUAAUACAUGCAAGUCGAGCGAAGCGGCGGAUGGGUGAGUAACGCGUGGGUAACCUGUCCUUAAGUCUGCGAUACCAUUUGGAAACAGAUGCUAAUACCGCAUACUAAAGGAUGGUCCUUCGAUGCAUUACAUAGUUUGUAAGGUAACGGCUUACCAAGGCGAUGAAGCAUACACGAGUUGAGAGACUGGUCGGCCACAUUGGGACGGAGACACGGACCAAACGCCUAAGGGAGAGAGCAGUAGGUAAUCUUCAAGAAUGGGAGAAAGACUGAUGGGACAACGCAGCGUAAGUAAAGAAGGUUUUCGGUUCGUAAAGCUCUGUUGUUGGUGAAGCGGUAAUCAACCAGAAAGUCACGGCUAACUACGUGCAAGAAGCCGCGGUAAUAC
rnacentral:rRNA from 1 species